GAUGAACGCUGGCGGCGUGCCUAAUACAUGCAAGUCGAGCGAACAGACGAGGAGCUUGCUCCUCUGACGUUAGCGGCGGACGGGUGAGUAACACGUGGAUAACCUACCUAUAAGACUGGGAUAACUUCGGGAAACCGGAGCUAAUACCGGAUAAUAUAUUGAGCCUCAUGGUUCAAUAGUGAAAGACGGUUUUGCUGUCACUUAUAGAUGGAUCCGCGCCGCAUUAGCUAGUUGGUAAGGUAACGGCUUACCAAGGCAACGAUGCGUAGCCGACCUGAGAGGGUGAUCGGCCACACUGGAACUGAGACACGGUCCAGACUCCUACGGGAGGCAGCAGUAGGGAAUCUUCCGCAAUGGGCGAAAGCCUGACGGAGCAACGCCGCGUGAGUGAUGAAGGUCUUCGGAUCGUAAAACUCUGUUAUUAGGGAAGAACAAAUGUGUAAGUAACUAUGCACGUCUUGACGGUACCUAAUCAGAAAGCCACGGCUAACUACGUG
rnacentral:rRNA from 1 species